CCACCAAAUACACUAUAACCCAAUCCCUUCAUGACACCACCAAAUCAUUAGGUUUUGUCAAUUCUGCCAGAGCAUUGGCAUCAAACUCCACCCCUAUUAGAUACACACAGGUUGCAGCACCCUGUAAGGAAAGCAAGGUGAUCGAGAUAGAUGAAGGUAACUGCGAUGAUUUGGGGGUUCCACUAAAUGGUCUCCCCGUCGGAGCGGUGGCCAAGCUCCCGCGACAGCUGGAACACCCAUGCCGCGCACAAAGCUGGUAAUAUCACGCAGCUGCCCCGGCCAUUGACUUUACUGUGACUCAACGACAGAGGUGGCAGGAUGCGGAUGACUACCAUGAUUGGCUGAUAAAGGUAGUUAGGACGGUGGCUAUUGUAGGAGAGUUUACGGUGUGGAUGGGUUUGUUUUGAGAAUGGUUUACUUUCAGUGUGUUGGGUUGUAAUUUUGAGUAUGGUUCGGUGUUGGGGUGGACUUUAGUUUGUUUGGCUAAUGUUGGGCUGGUUUUUACUUUGGGUUUAGAUUUGGUAUUGGGCCGGGCUUUAGUUUUGUUAUGGGUUCAAUGUUGGGCUGGGUUUUAGUUCGGUUUGAUUCUUAACCUUAGCUGGGCUUUAGUUUGGAUUUUAGUUCACUGUUAAGUUAGGUUAUUGCUUGGGUUUGGGCAGGAUUUCAUUUUGAUUGGGCUGCGAGAAUUGAGUUGGGUUUUAAUUUGGGUUUGGUUCACUGUUUUUAUGGGAUUUAGUUUGGGUUUAGUUACUGGGUUGUUAUUUAUGUUUAGAUUUAGAUUUGGGCUAGUUGUUACUUUAGGUUUUGGUUCAUUGUUGGACUGGGUUUUUGUUUGGGUUGGGUACUGUUGGUCUGGGCUUUAGUUUAUGUUCAACAUGGGUCGGGCUUUAGCUAGGUUGGGUUCACAUUUGGGCCGUGUUUUGUAUGGGCUUGGAUUAAGUUUGGCAUGGGCUUUAUUUUUCACUAGGGGUCAUUGAUGGGUUGGGUCAUUCCAGAUGGGCUUUAGUUUUUUUGGAUUUAUAAUUGGGCUGGGUUAUUUUUGAGUUUGGGCUGGAUUUCCAUUGGGUCGAGUUCACUAUUGGACUGGGCUUUCGUUUGUGUUUGGGUUCAAAUUGGAUUGUAAUUUGGGUUUGAUGGACUCUUGGGCUGGUUGGGUUCAGUAUUGGUCCUCUAACUAUUCAAAAGGGGCCCAUUGAUCCUCUAUGUUACUUUAGUUUAUCGAUCCUCCAGCUUUGAAGAAGGGACAUAUUGGUCUUCCAACUAUGGCAAAGCCACAAAUCGAUCCUCGAACUAUGAAAACUGGUAUGAACUAUGAAUCAUCGUCACAGCCGGCUGCCAACUCUGAUCUUGAUUAUGCAUUAUUUUCCUAGGAUGUGCAUUUGAAGUUUCAAUUGUUGUCUCCCCAUGCUUAUCCAAAACACGCAAACCAAUAAAAAUUGAAGAUGAUACUGAAGGAUAAACACAAGGGUUGGCCAGUAGAUUUGCUUUAAAAUCUGUUGCAUCCUAUAAUUAUAUUGUAGCAUGUUAUAUAUCUAUCUGAAACUUAAUGAUUUGUUGUCUGAACUUGGUAUUUCAGGUUGGAUGGUGGACUGGAAUUUCAGAAGACGCUUAUGAUCUUUAUGGUGGUAUUAUUCGUAUAAUUGCAGAGCAAAGACAAUAUGUAGCCAGAAUUUAUAGUCCUAGGUAAAGUUACUCAUCGUGUUGAAAGUUUUACACUUGAGUUUGCAGUUUUGCGGAGGAGUCAUUAUAUUGAAUUUGUGAUCAAUGUGGAAAGAUUCUAUGAUCAAACAAAAUUUCUAUACACAAAUAAAUAGCUAUAAAUCGACAUUUAUAUCAUUGGUAUUACAUUGAUAAUUGUUCUUCUAAGUAGAAUUUACUAGUAACUAGUUGGUAUAUAUACC
rnacentral:lncRNA from 1 species